rnacentral:tRNA from 2 species
GCGGUCAUGGCGGAAUUGGUAUACGCGCUACUUUGAGGUGGUAGUGGGCAACCGUGGGAGUUCGAGUCUCCCUGACCGCA